GAUGAACGCUAGCGGCAGGCCUAAUACAUGCAAGUCGGACGGGAUUCAGGAGCUUGCUUCUGAUGAGAGUGGCGCACGGGUGCGUAACACGUAUGUAACCUACCUUUAUCAGGGGGAUAGCCUCUCGAAAGAGAGAUUAAGCCCGCAUAAAAUCACAGCACAGCAUUGUGUAAUGAUCAAAUAUUUAUAGGAUAGAGAUGGGCAUGCGGAACAUUAGCUAGAUGGCGGGGUAACGGCCCACCAUGGCGACGAUGUUUAGGGGAUCUGAGAGGAUGGCCCCCCACACUGGUACUGAGACACGGACCAGACUCCUACGGGAGGCAGCAGUAAGGAAUAUGGGUCAAUGGGCGGAAGCCUGAACCAGCCAUGCCGCGUGCAGGAAGACGGCCCUACGGGUUGUAAACUGCUUUUAUACGGGAAUAAACCCAGAUACGUGUAUCUGGCUGAAUGUACUGUAAGAAUAAGGAUCGGCUAACUCCGUG
rnacentral:rRNA from 1 species